AUAGCAGCUUCUUUUAAUUUUAAAUUGAGAUUUAUAAAAGAGAACAUUUUCUGAGGACUCUUCAAUUCUGCUGUCUUUAAAGAAAUUCCUUCUCAAAAGAGUCAAAUUAAUCAACAUUGAAGCCAAGACAAGGAAAAGUGGCACUGGAUGUGGAAGAGAGCCUGAGGGGCAGCUCCAUUUCCUAUUCAGCUUUACACCUUUGCAGAUGGAUGAGACUUGAAAUGCUGCCUAAAGCCUCGGGCCAGGUCACAUCUCUUGGGCUGCACUCAUCUGAACGGACCUUGCCAAGAGAACACAUGCCAGAGCAGCAGUUGGCUGAGUGGUCCUCACCAGUGGAGGAGUGAGUGGAUUACUAGAAGGGCUCUGCUGUGGCUCCUGGUUAGUGAGGAGUGAUGUGGCUGGGAUGCACUGGCCUGGCCAAAAGAGCAUUCUUUCACCUCUAACCAAUUCUCAUCAUUCUCCACAGAAUGUGCCAUGUUGGCUAGAGCCAUGUAGUGCAGAUUGUAUGUUUGGUAACUUCCAUGCAAGCAAACCAAUAUGGUCGUCUUCUGAAGGCCAUAAUUGAGAUGACGAAUUGUGGAGUCUCCACUGACUGUCCUACCAUGGAAACACAUCUGCCAUGAAUGUGAACAGAAAUGUGGAAAAGGCUCCUUGACAAGGAACUGAGCAAGUCCUCUGACGAACAAUCAGAAACUUAGGACUUCAGUCCAACAGCCUGUGAAGUGCUGGAUCCUAUCAACA